GGGACGGGCAAACGGGCUCCCACAGUACAGCCCUGUACACUGAAGCCAGGAAAAAUGGACGGUGCGGGAACAACGUUGAGAUGCUGAGUAGAGACAGGUCUGCAGCUCCGCUAAGCGCUAAUCUCCCUCGACCCUGAGGAAGCACGCAGCCCGACCCUCAGAUCUGCAAGCUGCGGAGCACGCACAGUUGAGGUCUUUAUGACGACAAUGAGGUGGACUCUUCGUUUUCCGGAAUGAGGGCUCGAGAAGAUUCGUGUGAAAGUAAUGGCUAAGCAUCCGGAGAUACCUUUGGUGCUGCUCAAGAGCAUGGGACCAAGAGCGCCCCCCAGUGGGCCAAAGCAACUG